UAGGGAAUCUUCCGCAAUGGACGCAAGUCUGACGGAGCAACGCCGCGUGAGUGAAGAAGGAUUUCGGUUCGUAAAACUCUGUUGUUAGAGAAGAACAGCGCAUAGAGUAACUGUUAUGCGUGUGACGGUAUCUAACCAGAAAGCCACGGCUAACUGCGUGCCAGCAGCCGCGGUAAUACGUAGGUGGCAAGCGUUGUCCGGAUUUAUUGGGCGUAAAGCGAGCGCAGGCGGUCAAUUAAGUCUGAUGUGAAAGCCCCCGGCUCAACCGGGGAGGGUCAUUGGAAACUGGUUGACUUGAGUGCAGAAGAGGAGAGUGGAAUUCCAUGUGUAGCGAUGAAAUGCGUAGAUAUAUGGAGGAACACCAGUGGCGAAGGCGACUCUCUGGUCUGUAACUGACGCUGAGGUUCGAAAGCGUGGGUAGCAAACAGG
rnacentral:rRNA from 1 species